UUGGACCUCGGAUCAGGUAGGGAUACCCGCUGAACUUAAGCAUAUCAAUAAGCGGAGGAA
rnacentral:rRNA from 1 species